rnacentral:lncRNA from 10 species
GUCUCGGCAGCGGUGGCCGUAGCUCCAUCGCAUUUUAUGUUUCUGGCGAGAAGGGAACGGAGUUUUCAUCAGGUAGAUUGGUUUUUGUGCGGCCGUCCUCCACCGUUUCCUCCAGGACAGCACCUAGUCGUGGCCGGAGGAGUCUCAGAGCUGUCAGAAAGAAUAAGACUGAUUUUAUGGGAAAAUUAAGCAGAUGCUCCAGUUUGAGAAACCUGGAUCUGCGAUCUGUUUGUGGUACCAGCAUCAAGAUGAUUUAUGGUAAUAAGGUACUCAGUCUUUGCUUAAAAUAAAUUUUACGUUUAUCAAAGUAAAAUUUACCAGCUUUUUUUCCUAAAGAGGCUAGUCAUAUCUCAUCAGUGGUUACAAAGUAUCCUUACAAUUGAACCUACAUUUGUUAAUCCUGUUCAGUGUGUAUGAAAAUCACUUGGUGGCCGGGCAUGGUGGCUCACGCCUGUAAUCCCAGCACUUUGGGAGGCCAAGGCGGGCAGAUCACAAGGUCAGGAGUUCGAGACCAGCCUGGCUAAUAUAGUGAAACCCCAUUUCUACUAAAAAUGCAAACAUUAGUCAGGCAUGGUGGCAGGUGCCUGUAGUCCCAGCUACUUGG